rnacentral:rRNA from 1 species
AUUGAACGCUGGCGGCAGGCCUAACACAUGCAAGUCGGACGGUAGCACAGAGGAGCUUGCUCCUUGGGUGACGAGUGGCGGACGGGUGAGUAAUGUCUGGGGAUCUGCCCGAUAGAGGGGGAUAACCACUGGAAACGGUGGCUAAUACCGCAUAACGUCGCAAGACCAAAGAGGGGGACCUUCGGGCCUCUCACCAUCGGAUGAACCCAGAUGGGAUUAGCUAGUAGGCGGGGGAAUGGCCCACCUAGGCGACGAUCCCUAGUCUGGUCUGAGAGGAUGACCAGCCACACUGGAACUGAGACACGGUCCAGACUCCUACGGGAGGCAGCAGUGGGGAAUAUUGCACAAUGGGCGCAAGCCUGAUGCAGCCAUGCCGCGUGUAUGAAGAAGGCCUUCGGGUUGUAAAGUACUUUCAGCGGGGAGGAAGGCGGUGAGGUUAAUAACCUUGCCGAUUGACGUUACCCGCAGAAGAAGCACCGGCUAACUCCGUGCCAGCAGCCGCAGUAA